GCGGUAUGCUUAACACAUGCAAGUCGAACGAACUCUUCGGAGUUAGUGGCGGACGGGUGAGUAACGCGUGAGAAUCUAGCUUCAGGUCUGGGACAACCACUGGAAACGGUGGCUAAUACCGGAUGUGCCGAGAGGUGAAAGGCUUGCUGCCUGAAGAUGAGCUCGCGUCCGAUUAGCUAGUAGGUGGGGUAAGAGCCUACCUAGGCGACGAUCGGUAGCUGGUCUGAGAGGAUGACCAGCCACACUGGGACUGAGACACGGCCCAGACUCCUACGGGAGGCAGCAGUGGGGAAUUUUCCGCAAUGGGCGAAAGCCUGACGGAGCAAUACCGCGUGAGGGAGGAAGGCUCUUGGGUUGUAAACCUCUUUUCUCAGGGAAGAACACAAUCGACGGUACCUGAGGAAUCAGCAUCGGCUAACUCCGUGCCAGCAGCCGCGGUAAUACGGAGGAUGCAAGCGUUAUCCGGAAUGAUUGGGCGUAAAGCGUCCGCAGGUGGCUGUGUAAGUCUGCUGUCAAAGAGCGAAGCUCAACUUCGUAAAGGCAGUGGAAACUACACGGCUAGAGUGCGUUCGGGGCAGAGGGAAUUCCUGGUGUAGCGGUGAAAUGCGUAGAGAUCAGGAAGAACACCGGUGGCGAAGGCGCUCUGCUAGGCCGCAACUGACACUGAGGGACGAAAGCUAGGGGAGCGAAUGGGAUUAGAUAC
rnacentral:rRNA from 1 species